GUUCCUUGGAAAAGGACAGCUGAGAGGGUGAGACUCCCGUCCGCCUGGUAGAGUGAGCCUUUGUCAAAGAGUCGAGUUGUUUGGGAUUGCAGCUCUAAUUUGGUGGUAAAUUCCAUCUAAAGCUAAAUAUUGGUGGGAGACCGAUAGCGUACAAGUACCGUGAGGGAAAGAUGCAAAGAACUUUGAAAAGAGAGUUAAAGAGUACCUGAAAUUGCUGAAACGGAAGCGAAGGAAACCAGUGUUUGUUGGUUCAUAUUUCCCUUGUCACUUGUGAUGUGGGCGCUGUGAGCUUGCGUGGGUUUGCUUUGGUUGAUUCCUUUGGAAGAGCGCAGUCAGAGUUGAUGUCU
rnacentral:rRNA from 1 species